rnacentral:lncRNA from 1 species
UUGAAAUCUGGUGACAUAAAGGUUCAAAUUGAAGAUGAUAACGUGCUUUUGAUUAGCGGGGAGAGAAAGAGAGAAGAAGAAAAAGAAGGGGUGAAUUUUCUGAGAAUGGAACGAAGGGUUGGGAAGUUCAUGCGGAAGUUUGUGUUACCUGAAAAUGCAAACACUGAUGCAAUCUCUGCUGUGUGUCAAGAUGGGGUGCUCAGCGUUACCGUGCAGAAAUUGCCUCCUCCUGAACCUAAGAAGCCAAGGACUAUUCAGGUCAAAGUUGCUUGAGAUUGAAGAACUAAACAAAUUGUGUCUGUUAGAGCCCAAAAGUUGUUUAAGUUUCACUUGUUUCAAGAUGUUUUUGCUUGAUUUGGUUACAAGUUCUUAUUAAUGUCAUUUCUUGCUUUGUAGUUUUGUGAUAAUAUCAGCAGUGAUUUUGGUUUGAUCAUCUUUUCAGUUGCUGUCCAAUUUCUAUUUUUUUCAUCCUUUUUUGACAAAUCCCUCACUUGUCAUGUGUUAUACUCAGGGAAUAGCAGAAUUUAAUUUAGAACAAUAUAUAUAUUGAUCUUUUAAAUAUCAUGAAUGUUACAAACGGAUCUUUGUAAUAUCCCAAGUUCGGUUUCAAGAACUUAAACAAUAGCCAAGUUUCAUCUUAAAUAUUUUCUAAUGAUUCAAAAGCUUUUAUCAUGAAAUUUCAGGUAGUAGAGGCUUAUGAAACAGAGUCGUGAAUGUUUAUAAUAUUAACAUAAAAUAAAAGAUAAAACACUUUAAAAAGAAGAAUAAAGUUUAGGAAAAUACCCUUUUGACAUCACUGUUAAAAAAAAUAUCCACCUUACAAUUAUUUUUUGAAAUAAUAUAUUAUAUUGUAAUAAAGUAAUAAUUUAUUUAAGUAUAAGGUGAAUGUAAUUUACAUUCAUAGUCAUAGGUGUUACAGUAUCUUUAAGAUUUAUGGUAAGGAAUCCUACAUAUAAGUUUCUUUGUUAGGUCACAUUCUUGUUAAAAGCUACAAUUGGACCACUCCAUUUCCUUCUUAUAUUUGUUAAAAGGUUAAAAAAAGUUUUUAUAUAUUUUAAAAUUAUAUGUAAUAUCUCUGUUUUUUAAUUUAUAACUAUAACUCUUAUAAAAACCAUGUUAUAAUGUUUCUAAGUAAAUAUGAUUAAACAAUCAGAGAAUGUUCUGUAUGUUAAGAAAAUAAUUGUUAAAGUCUAUAAAGAAAAGGAAAUUGUCAGAUUUUUUAACCAUAAAGUUACGAGAUAUAACAAAUUUUAAUUCAGGAAUUAAACAAAUGAAUCAAUCAAUCAACUUUCACACAAUACUCCACCUUCCUCCGUUCCUAUUUAAUUAUUAUUUUUAUUCAAAUUUGCUUUUAUUUAUCUAUCAUGCAUGAAGUUUAAAACUAUAUUGAUUACAUUAAUUAUCAUUGUUUAUUAAUUAUAUUUUGCUUCACAUUCUCUUAUUUGGAGAAGAGAAAAUUUGAUAUUUUAUAAAAAUAAUUAUUUUUUAGUAAUUGUUUAUCGAAAAAGAAUAUAAGUAUUAUUUAAAAAAAUUAAGAAUGUAUUAGAACUUAUAAAAGUGAAUAUUUUUAUUAGUUUAUUCCAUUGAACUUAAACGUAUUAAGGAGAAAAGGGGAUAAUAAUAAUAAUCACUUCAAUAUUCUGGAAGUCAUUGGAAGGAUCGAGAAAGUCAAAGACCACUAACAUAACUUAAGCGACUCUACUUUUCAGAAACUUCUAUUUCCGACAUACCUGCUAUCUUGUUCUUCCAGAAACUUCUAUUUGCAAUUAGCGCUAUUAGUUUUCAUCAGAAACUUCCAUUUCUUUCUGGAACAAUGUACAUUCCCCAUUUAAAAAGCCACCUACCUUCUUCCCUGUCAAGAAACAUUCACAGAACAAAAUCUCAAACAAAAGUCUUGGCUUUCUAAGCAGUGUUUUUUCGUAUCAAAGUGAUGGAUUUGAGGGUCAUGGGUUUGGAAUCUCCUCUGUUCCACACGCUGCAUCACAUCAUGGACAUGUCGGAGGAGGGUGCAGGGGACAAGGCACACAAUGCUCCGACACGGUCAUACGUGCGGGACGCGAAAGCUGUGGCUGCAACACCUGCGGAUGUGAAGGAAUAUCCGAAUUCCUAUGUGUUCCAGAUCGACAUGCCGGGUUUGAAAUGUGGGGACAUAAAGGUUCAGGUUGAAGAUGAUAACAUGCUUUUGAUUAGCGGAGAGAGAAAGAGGGAAGAAGAGAAAGAAGGGGCAAAGUAUCUCAGAAUGGAAAGAAGGGUUGGAAAGUUCAUGCGCAAGUUUGUGUUACCUGAAAAUGCAAACACUGAUGAAAUCUCUGCAGUGUGUGAAGAUGGUGUGCUAAGUGUCACUGUGCAGAAAUUGCCUCCUCCUGAGCCUAAGAAGCCACGGACUAUUGAAGUUAAGGUUGCUUGAGCUUGCUGGACUUUUUAAGAACUAGAUAAAUAAAGAUAUGAAGAGAGAAGAGAAGUGAUGUUGUGUGAAGGGCAAGAGGGUUGCCUCUGUUUGAGUUU